AUUGAACGCUGGCGGUAGGCCUAACACAUGCAAGUCGAACGCGAAAGUCCUUCGGGAUGAGUAGAGUGGCGGACGGGUGAGUAACGCGUAGGAAUCUAUCCUGUAGUGGGGGAUAACGUUUCGAAAGGAACGCUAAUACCGCAUACGCCCCACGGGGGAAAGCGGGGAUCUUCGGACCUCGUGCUAUAGGAGGAGCCUGCGUCGGAUUAGCUAGUUGGUGAGGUAAAGGCUCGCCAAGGCGACGAUCCGUAGCUGGUCUGAAAGGAUGAUCAGCCACACCGGAACUGAGACACGGUCCGGACUCCUACGGGAGGCGGCAGUGGGGAAUAUUGCGCAAUGGGCGAAAGCCUGACGCAGCCAUACCGCGUGUGUGAAGAAGGCCUUCGGUUGUAAGCACUUUCUAGUGGGGAGGAAAAGGACGGGUGGCGUAAUAAUCCAUCGGCCGUGACGCUACCCACAGAAGAAGAC
rnacentral:rRNA from 1 species